CUUGACAAACUUAUAAGAGGUCCAGCCUGCCCAGUGACUCUGUUCAACGGCCGCGGUAUCCUAACCGUGCGAAGGUAGCGUAAUCACUUGUUCUUUAAAUGAGGACUAGUAUGAAUGGCACCACGAAGGUUAUACUGUCUCCUUUUUCCAAUCAGUGAAACUAAUCUUCCCGUGAAGAAACGGGAAUAAAAAUAUAAGACGAGAAGACCCUAUGGAGCUUUAAACAAAUAUACACCUGCCUCUUUACCAAAAAUUUCAGAAGACAAGUAAUUACCCGGGCAUUUUGAUAUAGCGUUUUAGGUUGGGGUGACCGCGGAGCAAAAGAUAACCUCCGCAGCGAACGGGAGUAUUCCCUAAACCAAGGGCCACAACCCCAAGUAUUGAUAAAUCAACACCAAUUGACCCAAUAAAUUUGAUCAAUGAAC
rnacentral:rRNA from 1 species